GUUGUCUAGGGUUGGGGUCGGCACAUCUCUUCCCACAAUGCCUGGGGUCACCCAAAGGGCAUCAAGUGUCCCAAAUUCUUCAUGCCAAACUGGUCUCUGUUUUCACUGGCAUUUAUGGAAAGCCUGUAGUGCCUAAGCCUACUGGGGAGAGGAACUGGGUCUGAGGGUGAUCACCAACAAAAGAGCUGAAGCAGUUGUCAUUCCUCUCCCAACCCCGGGCAAAUAAUCUGCAAAUAGUUCAGAAAUGGAUGCUGCUGAAACAUGGGCCUGGCUAUCUGGGUUUGAAUCUUAACUUCACCUCUAAUGUGUUGUGUGAUCUUGAGUCUCACAAGGAAAUUGAGGCUGGUAACAUCCCCUUCUUACAGGGUACUGAGAUGGCCACUGUAGAAGAGACCAAUAAGGUACCUCACCUACUGCCUAGCACAUGGAAAACCCCAAAGCCGAUGUCCCCACCAUCCGAUGCGAACUGCCACCUGCAGUGGAUACAGCCCCAUUGGCGACCCCCUGCCUGGGCUCCAGGCCCCUCCCAGAUGUGCCCAGGUGUGGAGUGGCUGCCAUCCCUACCUGAGCACACAGCCCGGGAACAGGAUCUCGUUCUCCACCUGCAGGGAGGAGCCGCGGCCCACGGACACCGUGUGCUCAUACUGCAGCCUCACCUGCUCGCACAGGCAGAUGGACACAACAAGGGCGCCAAAUCGCUCACCUCCCAGAAUCACAAUCUUCCUGCGUGUCUCCUCACUCAUGAAUGGCUUGACCAAGUUGAAGACCACGGGGAACAGUUUGGGGGCUGAAACACAUGUAAAUCUCUUGAGAAGCUAGACCAGAAAGGACGUGGGGAUACAGAGCCACAACCAAGAGCAGGUGCUGGACAGGAUUGGACAGAUAUGGCUGCCACUCUCUGAUGUGUGACCUUCAGCAAGUUACCCACCCUCUCUAAGUCUUAGUGCAGUUAACUGGAAAAUGAAGGUGAAAUAAUGUAUGUAUAACACCUGGCACAGUUCCUGGCUUUCAAUA
rnacentral:antisense_RNA from 1 species